UACAGAGGGUGCAAGCGUUAAUCGGAAUUACUGGGCGUAAAGGGCACGUAGGUGGCUGUUUAAGUUGGAUGUAAAAUCCCCGAGCUUAACUUGGGAAGGCCAUCUGAAACUGGACAGCUUGAGUACAGUAGAGGGAAGCGGAAUUUCCGGUGUAGCGGUGAAAUGCGUAGAUAUCGGAAAGAACACCAGUGGCGAAGGCGGCUUUCUGGACUGAUACUGACACUGAGGUGCGAAAGCGUGGGGAGCGAACAGG
rnacentral:rRNA from 1 species